AGAGUUUGAUCAUGGCUCAGGACAAACGCUGGCGGCGUGCGUAACACAUGCAAGUCGGACGAGGCAGCUCUUUCUUCGGAGAGGGGUGCUGAGUGGCGGACGGGUGAGUAACACGUGGAUAACCUGCCCUGGUGUGGGGGAUACCCUGUAGAAAUAUGGGCUAAUACCGCAUGAGAUCUGGCCGUGGGAGCAUGGUCAGA
rnacentral:rRNA from 1 species